rnacentral:rRNA from 1 species
GCUCAGAUUGAACGCUGGCGGCAGGCCUAACACAUGCAAGUCGAGCGGAUGAGGGUAGCUUGCUACCUGAUUCAGCGGCGGACGGGUGAGUAAUGCCUAGGAAUCUGCCCGAUAGUGGGGGAUAACGUUCCGAAAGGAACGCUAAUACCGCAUACGUCCUACGGGAGAAAGCGGGGGAUCUUCGGACCUCGCGCUAUCGGAUGAGCCUAGGUCGGAUUAGCUAGUUGGUGAGGUAAAGGCUCACCAAGGCGACGAUCCGUAGCUGGUCUGAGAGGAUGAUCAGCCACACUGGAACUGAGACACGGUCCAGACUCCUACGGGAGGCAGCAGUGGGGAAUAUUGGACAAUGGGCGAAAGCCUGAUCCAGCCAUGCCGCGUGUGUGAAGAAGGUCUUCGGAUUGUAAAGCACUUUAAGUUGGGAGGAAGGGUUGUAACCUAAUACGUUGCAACUUUGACGUUACCGACAGAAUAAGCACCGGCUAACUUCGUGCCAGCAGCCGCGGUAAUACGAAGGGUGCAAGCGUUAAUCGGAAUUACUGGGCGUAAAGCGCGCGUAGGUGGUUUGAUAAGUUGGAUGUGAAAGCCCCGGGCUCAACCUGGGAAUUGCAUCCAAAACUGUCUGACUAGAGUACGGUAGAGGGUAGUGGAAUUUCCUGUGUAGCGGUGAAAUGCGUAGAUAUAGGAAGGAACACCAGUGGCGAAGGCGACUACCUGGACUGAUACU